UGGGGAAUCUUGCGCAAUGGGCGAAAGCCUGACGCAGCGACGCCGCGUGCAGGAAGAAGGCCUUCGGGUUGUAAACCGCUUUCAGGAGGGACGAGGCCACUCGGGUUAAUAGCCCAGAGGGUGACGGUACCUCCAGAAGAAGCCCCGGCUAACUACGUGCCAGCAGCCGCGGUAAUACGUAGGGGGCUAGCGUUGUCCGGAUUUAUUGGGCGUAAAGAGCGCGUAGGCGGCCGAGUAAGUCCGACGUGAAAUCUGGAGGCUCAACCUCCAGCGGUCGUUGGAAACUACUCGGCUAGAGUCCGGAAGAGGAGAGUGGAAUUCCUGGUGUAGCGGUGAAAUGCGCAGAUAUCAGGAAGAACACCGAUGGCGAAGGCAGCUCUCUGGGACGGUACUGACGCUGAGGCGCGAAAGCGUGGGGAGCGAACAGGAUUAGAUACCCUGGUAGUCCACGCCGUAAACGAUGGGUGCUAGGUGUGGGCGGUGUCGACUCCGCCCGUGCCGAGCUAACG
rnacentral:rRNA from 1 species